GGCCCCUGGCACCCUCGGAUGGGAUAACAGAAACUGAUGCACACAGAGUGGGGUGCUGUGCCAGGCCCCCGCGCUCAGGACCAGCUCACCCACACCCAUGCACACAGGCUGCACUCCCCGUGCUCCGUGGGUCCCUAACUCUCAGCCCAUGGGUACUGUGGCCGCCCGUGAUUCCACUUCCUGUUAAAAUACACAAUUCACAUUGGGUCCAGGCAAAUGGAUGUAACACCCGGGCUUAGAGAGACACACUAAACUUUACUGACGACGCACGGUCAAAACGGUCACAGAGCCGCGUGGUGCUCGCUGGUUGCUGUCACUGUCAGAGGCACUUCCCACCCGCAUUCCCACCUGAGAGUGACCAAAACUUGCACACCAAAGGGACAUCACUUCAGCAAGUACCUGUACUACAAUCCACAGAAUCUAGUGGUGUUUUACGCCCUUAUGUAAGCCACUGAGUGGUCCUGCAGCCCCGGAAUGCUACCCACACAACUGCA